AGAUUUAAGUUAACUUUGAUAUUGUUUUCAAUAGUUGUUUCAUUAAAAUUGUAUGUCUGUGUGGGAGGACCUUUUUUCAGUUUGAAAUACUAAUGAUGAGUAUUAGCAGUAUAAGCUGAAAAUUGAGUUUUACAGAGCUCGGCUUUAUCAAAAUUGUUUGCGAUAGUCCAGCAAAUCAUCGCAAUCAGUAGCUGAUUGCGAUGUGUAUGAAGCUUUAACGUUUUGGUUGUGGAAUUCCAGUGCCGAGGGCGUGUUGUGGACCAUGUGGACGGUGCUCAUCUGGAUAUUCGAAAUGCUGCUUUACCUGCUGUGGAUUAUACCCAGAGAGAUUUUGCGGUCCCUGCAGUAAGUCCUUUUUAGAUCCAGCUCGGCUCAGCUGACUGGCCCCAAAUAACCGCUGCAAUUUUUAGCUGGGCUAUUGUAAAUAUUAAGCCAAUGGACUUUUAAUAAAUCUCAAGCAAUAGACAAAUAAAAA